CCUAGGGGAGGCAGCAGUGGGGAAUAUUGCACAAUGGGCGCAAGCCUGAUGCAGCCAUGCCGCGUGUAUGAAGAAGGCCUUCGGGUUGUAAAGUACUUUCAGCGAGGAGGAAGGUGUUGAGGUUAAUAACCUCAGCAAUUGACGUUACCCGCAGAAGAAGCACCGGCUAACUCCGUGCCAGCAGCCGCGGUAAU
rnacentral:rRNA from 1 species